GACGAACGCUGGCGGCGUGCUUAACACAUGCAAGUCGAACGGUAAGGCUCCAGCUUGCUGGGGUACACGAGUGGCGAACGGGUGAGUAACACGUGGGUGACCUGCCCUGCACUUCGGGAUAAGCCUGGGAAACUGGGUCUAAUACCGGAUAGGACUGCACCGUGAGGGUGUGGUGGAAAGUUUUUUCGGUGUGGGAUGGGCCCGCGGCCUAUCAGCUUGUUGGUGGGGUAAUGGCCUACCAAGGCGGCGACGGGUAGCCGGCCUGAGAGGGUGGACGGCCACAUUGGGACUGAGACACGGCCCAGACUCCUACGGGAGGCAGCAGUGGGGAAUAUUGCACAAUGGGCGGAAGCCUGAUGCAGCGACGCCGCGUGGGGGAUGACGGCCUUCGGGUUGUAAACUCCUUUCACCAUCGACGAAGAGUUUCUGACGGUAGAUGGAGAAGAAGCACCGGCUAACUACGUG
rnacentral:rRNA from 1 species